rnacentral:lncRNA from 1 species
CGACGCCGGCGGCUCCGGCGCCACCUGCCACCGACGAUUAUUUUGGCGACGCAGCCCCACUUUUUGUUAAACUACAGUUGUGGAGAGUGUUACAGAGAGAGAAAGAGAGAUGGCCUGGAGAUUCAAGGUUGAGGUUGUUUUCCGGCAAGAGAAUGCCGAGAGAAUUCAGCUGAGGCCUCUCCGAUGAACGGUGGUAAACGGUCUUGUCCACUGGUUUUCGAUGGAUAGCAGAGGAGCGACGGCGGCGGUGCUGGGGUUUGACGCAGAGAGGACGGUGGUGAUGUUAUUGGGUCGUCAAGCGGCGGUGGUGUUGUUCUGAUAACCAAAGUUGUUUCGAUAACCAUAAAUUACUUUUCAAUUACGUUCUCUGUUUUUCAGACCCAAGGAAGUUGAAAUCGGCAUGUCGGAGCCUGAUGAUUCGAUUGUAAAGAAGCCUAAAAAACUGUCUAGGGUUUUCAUUUGAUCACGGCGUACGAUAAAGGAAGUUGAAAUCGGCAUGUCGGAGCUUGAUGAUUCGAUUGUAAAGAAGCCUAAACAUGAUCAGGCAAUCAUCUGGGUUCAAUGAAAGAGAUUAAAGGCGGGUUCACUU